rnacentral:rRNA from 1 species
CAGCCGCCGCGGUAAAACGGAGGGUGCAAGCGUUAAUCGGAAUUACUGGGCGUAAAGCGCGCGUAGGUGGUUUGUUAAGUUGGAUGUGAAAUCCCCGGGCUCAACCUGGGAACUGCAUCCAAAACUGGCAAGCUAGAGUAUGGUAGAGGGUGGUGGAAUUUCCUGUGUAGCGGUGAAAUGCGUAGAUAUAGGAAGGAACACCAGUGGCGAAGGCGACCACCUGGACUGAUACUGACACUGAGGUGCGAAAGCGUGGGGAGCAAACAGGAUUAGAUACCCCAGUAGUCCCUGUCUCUUAUAC